AUAAUAUUAAUUUUGUCUUUCUAAACACCAGCUGAGAAUACAAGCAGUUUUGUUUAUGAAGAAAUACUCGAGUGAUAAUGUUAUAGGACAAAGCGAUCUUAAGAUGAAGCUAAAAAGUGGAAAACCCAAGAAUUACCAACGAUAGAAGAAUGGCAGAUAAAGAUGAGGGAUUUUACGGAGCUAGCCGACGAAGGAGGACGAGUACCAGGAAGAAUGGAUUAAAUUAAUGAUUACUUAGUUAAAUAUGUCAAGUUAAAUUAACUGAAAACAGCUUGCAGAUACUUAAUUGGCUUAGGAUUUUAUUUAUGUUAAAUGAUGAAUUUAUAUGUUUAAUUUCAUAAUGUGAAGAUUUAAGGAUGUUAACGUUUAAGUUAAAUUUUAUAAGAACUGUGAUUUGGAAAACCGUUAAAAGGAUAUGCAAUGGAAUUCAACCAAGGGGAAGCGAGGAAGUCACUUAACAAUGUUAAUAAGUGUAAUUUUCAAUAAGGCUAUGAUUUAUGUUUGUUUGUCUUAUGUGUUUGUUUGUUUAUAAUGUUGUGAAAACCAAUAAAAAAUUUUUUGGGGAAAAAA